rnacentral:lncRNA from 1 species
GCUGGCUAGAUUUUUUAUUUCUCCUUACCAAGAAUCAGAACUUCAUACCCGAAGAAUUUAAGGUAAGAGUAUAUCGGUUCAUAUAUGGAUAAAACAUGAAUAUUAUAAUCCUUGUUUUACAUAACAAGGAUAUUUGAAUAAUUAAGGGAAAGUAAUAUGAUUUUUUUAAUGAUAGAAAUCAGAUCAAACCUAAUUUUUUUGUAGCUGUGGAAAUAGAACCAUAUUAACUUGACACCUCCCUCCUGGUGAUUCUUGUGCUGAAUUGUUUUAGGUUCAUAGUGCAGGUUCCUUGGGUUAUUUGAUUCUCAAAUUGGAUCCAUUAAAUUAGGGAGCCAGAUUUAGGGAGACGAAUGGGGACUAGAUAAUUUGGGUAGUGGAGGAUUUGAGUUUGAGAGAGAAAAGUUAGGAAUGAGAGAUUGAAGAGUUAAUGUUCUAAUAAAUGUUCUUUUGAAAUUGAGAUUGCUCAAGAGUCAGGCAGAAGAAGAAUUGGUGUUUUGAAACAUAAUACAUCUGUCUUUUUUUGAAACUUGAUAACAUACUAACUCUGUUCCUUUGGGAUUUGUAACAUACCUUUUAAACUUGCCAUGCAAUAUAUUUAUGUAGUUUUUCAAUAGCAAAAUAAAGAAUUGGGAUUUCUUUCUUGCUAUAAACAAAAUUUAAAACACAAAAUCUCUUCGUAUAGCGAGUGAAAAUUUAAUAGAGGUUGAAUGUAUUGCGAAACAAUUACUUGCAAUCUAAAAGACAAACCUAAAAAAAUGAUUUCAUCAAAUUGAAAACAAUCUACCAAAUAAGAAUACCCCCUUUAGAUGUAAAUCUAAUAUCCAUUUUAUUUGGCACUUGUAUCAUAGCAUGGUCCACACCUACUCCAUUUUGGGUAACUGUGAACAGAGUAUCAGUUAAUUUCAGGCAACUGAAACAGAAGCUUGGAAGCACACUCCCGGCUACAGUUAUUAUUCUAUGUGAUCGGCAGUGGUUGUCCACAGUUACUUCACUGGAGAGGCCUUUCAUUAUAGAUACUAGGCUGAUGAUGGUUUGUUUUUGAUAAAACUUUUCAUCAGCAAUUUGAUGGACUAGGGACGAAAAUUGCAAUGGAAGAAAUAUCACUGCUGUAACUCAUUAUGCAUCUUUGCGGCAGAGCAUUCUUUUUGUUUGAUCGAGUGGGCUUAAUAGUUUUUUACUGAAUCAUGGGAAUAGUAUGUUGAUUGACUAAUGACUCAGGGGAAAUGUGUCGGAGAUGUGACGCGCCAAUAUGGACUGCUUUCUAUUUAACUAUUAUUAUCAUCACUAUGUUGCAACUGUUUCUCUCUCUCUCUCCAAUUGCGUCAGAUGUAGCCUUUGUUUGUUGAGAGUGGUGAUCUAUAGUUGCCCAAGUUCUGGUUAAUUGCACGUUUGUGGCCCAUGGAGUCUUUGUACCUUUGUUGUAAUCAUGUGGCCAUUUAAUGCAG